GGCCCGUUGUUGUUGCAACCGCGCUACAAUGCAACGUCGUUCCGCGUAACGUCAUCGGUAGACCAUCGCCAGGUAGCGCGUAGCCGAAGGGAUAAAGAGCCACGGGUACUUCCGAUUAGGAACCCUGACACGGCCGUAUAAACAGACGAUUUAUUUCUUUCGUAAUCACCUGCACAGCUUUUCUGGGAAUCUCAUAACUUGAAUCUGCUAUUAAUUGACUGCGCUUCGGAAACUGACGUCAACAACUUUUGCUAGGUGCUUCGUGGGGAAAGGACUAAAAAGUUGCUUACGAUCUACCGAAUAAGUACAAGUGCGCGGUACAGAAAUCUUUAUUAAAGAGUUAUAAUUUCCUUACGCAUGAUGUGCAAAAGGAAGGUAAAAGAGAUGCGAAAGUGUGGUAAUGAGGGAUCAUUCGCAAGCGUUCGAUAGCAAACUAGGAAUUUCAAGCUCGCUCAUCGAUCAUGCGGUGGUUUCGCUGGAUUUUGUUCAGUCUGCUUCGAACGAAACCGGUACAGCCUACGGCGCAUCGCGGCGAGGAAAAGGAAGAUGGCAAGACCAGAUGGAAUAGAAGAAUGAAGGAGCAACUAGAAUUAUUCACGACGAUAAUGCAUCUAUUUAUUUGUUAUCGGAAAAGUCAAGAAUAAAAUCAAUUAUUGCACGAUAAACGAUAAAACAUAAUA